UACGUAGGUGGCGAGCGUUGUCCGGAUUUACUGGGCGUAAAGAGCGCGCAGGCGGCCAAGUCAGUCGAAUGUGAAAGCCCCCGGCUCAACUGGGGAAAGUCAUCCGAUACUGCUUGGCUCGAAGAUGGGAGAGGGAAGCGGAAUUUCAGGUGUAGUGGUGAAAUGCGUAGAUAUCUGAAGGAACACCAGUGGCGAAGGCGGCUUUCUGGCCCAUUCUUGACGCUGAGGCGCGAAAGCUAGGGGAGCGAACGGG
rnacentral:rRNA from 1 species